UACGGAGGGUGCAAGCGUUAUCCGGAUUCACUGGGUUUAAAGGGUGCGUAGGUGGGUUGAUAAGUCAGUGGUGGAAAUCCCCGAGCUUAACUUGGGAACUGCCAUUGAUACUAUUGAUCUUGAAUACCGUGGAGGUCAGCGGAAUAUGUCAUGUAGCGGUGAAAUGCUUAGAGUAUGACAUAGAACACCAAUUGCGAAGGCAGCUGGCUACUGCGAAUAUUGACACUGAUGCACGGAAAGCGAUGGGGAUCAAACAGG
rnacentral:rRNA from 1 species